CACACACAUUGCAGAACCAUAGAGGUAAAACACUCAUUGAACAGCAAUGUUCCCCAAGUUUUGUGACAAAGGCAGCAGCUGAUGUGGGUUCACCCCAAAGCCCUGGUAUGUGUUCUAUUAUUUACUGCAUGUGUUGCCAUCCAUAACGAACCAGGCAGGUGGUUGGCUGGUUGGUACAGGACCAGGAGGCUAAUUUCUCCAGCAGUGGAAAUGUCCAAUCAUCUCCCCCCCCCCUCCCCUUCAGAUCCCAGACAUCCAUCAGUUUGCCCUGAGAAAUCCCAGUAAUCACUUCCCACUGCUUACAGAAAUUGCAUGUUAUUAGAGAACAAUCUGCUUUGAGCUGGGUGUUUUGCUAGGUGAUUAAUGAUAACAAAGCCUAUGAAAGCAUGAUCUAUUAGCAAUCUUACACAGCUCUGGGACAACUCAAUGUGUAAAACAACUGUGAGGAAGAGUUGGUUCUUUCCAUUCUAGGAAAGUUCAGCCAUUAUAUCUGCGCUUGCCACUUGGGCCUCAGGCAGAUGUGAUUUCCAAGCUCGUAGAGGUCACACGAAUGUGGACAACACACAGAGAUUACCUAACAACAGGAGAAAUAGUAGAACAAAUCACGGCCCAAUGGGAGAAAAGCAUAUCCUGUGGAAUGCAAUACUCUGUUUUUUUCCUUAAUGUAGAGAAACACAGAAAGAAGUGCAGAAACAUUUUUUCCAUUUCUUCAUUUAUUUGUAAACGAUAUCACAAGAUGUCUUCUUACUCCUGCUGCUAGGCAGAUGGUUCAGUGAUGGAUUCUAGCGGAAACAAGAGUGCACAGUGCUUCAUAAUACAAGUUAUUAUUUCCUGGAUAUCAAUAUGUAUACAUUGGAGUAUGCUGUAACAUUACAAGAACCACAGGAGAGAAUGAACUAAUCCACAAGUCAGUGUUGUUAUAUCAUUUCAAGCAAUUACAACAGGAAAAGCACUUGUCAAUUUAAAACAUUGAUUUGCACUAUGAAAAACAACCAUCAGUAAUAUUUCUUUCUUUUUCAAACUGCAAUUCCAACAACUUGCAGCUUGGCUGCCUCAGUAGGAAUCAAAAGAAGAUCCAGUAUAUUCAGGAGACUUCAAACAAAAACCAACUGAGAACUUCAUAUAUUCAUUAGUUGGCCUGCUCUAAAGAGAUUAGGAGCCACAAUUGGAGGAAAAGGAAACAAUAUGCUAGACACAAUCACGACACAUAUAUAGGGACAGAGAUAUAAGCUGAUCAUUUCCAGAUAAUACAAUGGAGGGAUGCCGUUUUGGGGUCCUUGUUUCUUGUGCAGAUUCAGGGACAAAAAAACUGCCCUCCAUCAAAGCAGAAGUGGAACUAGCCAUACAACAGGAUAAAAGGACCUUCACUUCAUAGCUGUCGGGACAGGUUGAUUGAGGAUGUAUUGAAGGAUCUCAGGGAUCACAGCUUGCAAUUCUUGGUACAACUGAAGCAGAAAAUGACUGAGAUUGAGCUGUCAGCGGAGGAUGCUGGUUAUCUGGCCUUCACCUCCAUAUACCCACCACUAAACCAGGAGAAAAACUGAAGUGAACUGACGGGAUUGCAGCUUCUAUCCACGAAGAAACAAGACACACAUGCAACAUUCAGCAGUGCAGUUAAAUCUGUCCUGGAGAGCAGUUUCACCUAGGCAAUGGUUAGAGCUCCAAACAACACCAAUCCCAGAGCGUCAUGGAGCUGGCUCAUAAACACUAUGGCUAACCAACUCUGCUAAGUCCGCAACUGUGCAAAGGUUAGGAAUCCCAUCUCAACCAAGUGUGGGCAAAAACUCUGGGUGUCUCGUGAUGAAUUUCCCCUUCCAGAGCGGAGCACGCCCAAUAUGACAAGAUAUGCAGGACCAGCAUCGCCUAGGCAUAGUCAUAUAAGUGAAACAAACAUACGCAGAUGGAUUUCAGAUAUGAUUUCCAGACUGAAAGGCAAAGAUGAACCCAGAAACCGCAUUAAAAUGAAUUCAGCAACUUGAACACUCAAUAAGAAAAUAGAAAACAAUAACAGCACUAAACAGGAGAUGUUUGUGGGAGUGGAAACUGAUGCUCUUGUGUGCAAAGUAUGACAACAUUCAAUCAUUUCAAUAAGAUUCUUCCAGUUGCAAAGCACUUAGUUAAAAACCCUUUACAGAUUGACAAAUAUGGCCCCACAUGUACAAUCUAAGUUGUAAGUAUUUUGUUGCUGUUGUUGUUGUUUUAAUUCACAAGCAGACAUUUAACCUGCCUAAAAGCAGCUUGUUCAAUCAUGCUAGAACACCAAAGCAAAUGUGUUGGAAGAUGUAGCUUUUAAUGUAUGUCACAUAUGCUGUAUGAAUUAAAACGACAAUGCUUCUACAGAUGUUAACAGCAUAUAUUUGUCAAGGCAUUUCAGAUGUAUAUUAUUUCAUGGAUAAACCAAAAUUGUAAACGGUUCAACAUUUAGCAAGCUGACUUAUCACCAAAUUAAUAUCUUUGCAUCAUUCUUGUUAAGGAUAGUUUUAUUCAAAAGUUUUUAUGUGGAAAUAUGUCAUGAAGGAUUUUUAUGUUGAAGAUACUGGCAAUAUUUACAACAUAAUACUGCCAGCAAAAUGCAGUUUUUUUUCAACAAACUAACUGCAGAAUAUCAAACUAUGACUGAUAUUUUUACAGGUAAUGUAAUCACCAGCAGAAAGCCAGAUUAACUGAACUACAACAAAUAUAUGUCUAAUACUAACAAACUUGCUUAUGGAAAAUUAUUCAAGUGCAGAGGAUGGAAUUUAGUAUUUCUUCAUUUAAAGAAAGCACCGGCCUAUUAUCAAUAAUUUUGUGGACUUUUUUGUUGCCUUUUUUAUAUAUUACAGGUGGCAAACCAUAUAUUUUUUAAUGACAAAAGUUGUUGAAGAAAAAUCUGUGGGGGAAGUAUUUCAUAGAACUGGUAAAUGAUGAAACUAUUGGAGAACAAUGCACCUCAGGCUAUACAUUCAACAUAUUUGACACCACCACAAGACAGGCAAGUAAACAUUCAAAAAGCUGGUUGAAAAGGGCAAAUCUUCAACAAACACUGAUACUUAGUACGACUUCUGACUACUUUUCAUUGGGCCUUUUGAGAUUGGAGUAGAUUGGUUCAGACAAGCAACAGGUGAUAAGGUUGAGAGCAGAAGGAGCUAGGAUGGCUGCUGUAGAAUUGCACAGACUUGAGGAGUAGGAAAGUCAUGGUGUAACUACUCAGUAUGGUUCAGCACACAGUAUUCAAAACCUCACUUGUCAGAUAAAUCAAGAAUCCUUUAAUCUAAAUACGACAUUCCCCUUUCAACAUAAUAUACCUAAUCAAGUGUUUAAAUAUCAUUUAAAUUCAUUAUCAGUGAAAAAAGUUAUUUUACGAUAAAAAGAUUUUUUUGUUCAUUUUGAGUAUUUUAUGCUUUUGAAUUUCUCACAGUAACUUAUAUAAUUAUUGUUACCUGUAUGUUUUAUAAUAAUAAACCAUAUAUCAGCUUUGAAAUUUAGUGUAUGGACUUGUCUAUUCUGCAUGGCAGUUGUUUUCUUUCAAAUAUUCCUAAAAAGAUUUUAUCUUUAUUUUUCAUAUAUAAAUGCUGCUCUAGCUAUUUUCCAAUUUUUCCUUCAGAUAACUUUGGUCUACAAUAGAAGUGUCCGGCUGUGAAACAAAUUGAAAAUUUUAUAGAAUAUACUGUAAUGCAGUAAACUGUUUUGCAAAUAAAGCGCAUAUCCUUAACUAUUCCAUUUUGCUUUAAAUAUUUUUUAUCAAAGGGUUUUUUUUUUAAAGACUCAAAGUCAACUCUUUCUUUGCAAACAACAUUCUCUUUUCUGCCAUGUUCUUAUCUUACACCUAGGUUGCCAUAGACAAUAAUUUCCCCUGAACUCUUAAAGGAAAUUUACAAGUCACCCCAUGCUGCUGCCCUAUAUUUUGUUGUUUUCCUCUCCAUCCAGACAGACAGAUAUAUACCCAGGUAGAACUUGCUCUUUGCAUGCAUAAUGCAACCUCCCAGCUCCCAAUUUGCCAAAUAAGGCCCGUUAGAGGAUUUUCAUCCGAUGUUUGUUUCCUUGGUUAAAUUUUCAAAAAGUGAUAACAAAUAAGUGCAGGAUACAUGUAUAUGUAAGGUGUCAACAGAGAGGAGGACUGUAUUUUCUUGUUGCUUAACUAUACAAUUCAACGAAAAAAGAAAAAAGACUAGAAUAUGUCAACAGGAAAGUAGGAUGCAGUAUGACUGCACAGGUUUGGGCAUAUCUAGAUGUGGUAUAAAUUAUGAAGAUAGUUUUGUGUUGAAAAAGUCAGCAUUUCAACAAAAUAUUAUGGUGAAGGGAGUCCUACGCAUUCUUCCUGAACUAAGGUUUGUCCACAGUUCUCCACGUGUAAAAUGGCAGUCCAUUUUCUGAAUGAGGAGUCUUCCUUAUCUCUCCCGGGUACACAAUAGCCCAGCAAUAUAAAGGUAAAUAUGGUCCCAGCAGAGGGACAGUUGUAAUGGGGCAACAAACUCUGAUGGUUAUCAGAAUGCCUGAUAUUGGAGGGGCCUUCUAAGGAGGUGGCCUACACUGCCUGAUGAGGGUUUAAAACUAAUCACUGCCUUCCAGAUAAUAUGGCAAUAUUCUCAAUAUUAUACCACAAAACAUAGUCCCAGUGCUGCCUGUCAUAAUAUAGAGCACCUUAAUCCCUUUACGUGACAUUAUUACUAUAACAUGGACAUUCUUUUACUCAAAAUGUUACAUAAGGAUCCAGCCUAGAGGCAGUUUGGUUGAAAAAGUUGCUACAUGAGAUGCAGUAAACAAGCAAAUUUUGAAACCAAAACAACAAACACCCCGAUAGGUCCCCCAUGUGCUGCAUGCCACCUGACUGUACACCCCAUACUAAAACACAGUGCAAAUAUCCUUAUAUAUGGCCACUUCGGUUACUGCAACCCCCC